CUUGCUUAUACUCCUCCCUCAAAAGCAGCAAAUAUUUCCCUUGUUCCCAGGAGUUGAAAGGAUUUCCUGUCUUUCCAGCAGCAGUCUAUGCUUUUGCUUUUUUUGAGAGAAGAGACUGGAAAGCAGGUGAGAUUUUGUGCCUGUGUGCCACUGAGAAAGCCUUUCUCUGGCCUUUGGCUCUGUCCCUAACCUUUCUUACGAACGUCCUGUGGAUUCUGGAAAAGAGCUGUUGUUAAUGUGUUGCCUCUGGUUUGGGAAUUUGGAACUAAUUAAACAGCGGCCGUGUUGUAAGCUGUCCUAUGAAGAGGGCCACAUGACAAGAAACUGAUGCAGCCAACAGCCAUUGAGGACCUGAGGCUUGUCAGCAGCCAUGAAAGGAGCCCCAGGCCUCUCAAAAAGUAUGAAAGAACUGGAAUUCACCAGAUCAUCACAUCCAGACAAUGAGACACCAGGCCCCUCAUUCAUCAUGAUGGCUUCUUUACCCCUAUGGAGUUCCUGUUUUCCCUUAGAUAGUUACAUUUCUUCCCUGCUAUAUAAACCCCUAAUUUUAGUCAAUCCCGAAGACGGAUUUGAGCUUCAGCUCCCAUCUCCUUGGCUGCAGACCUGAUUAAAGCCUUCUUCCGUGGCAGUACUUGUCAUCUCAGUCAUUGACUUUCUGUGCAGCAAGCAGCAGGACCUAGAUGCAACCUGUGGUGUUUCAGUAACACGUGUAGUAACUAACAUUGUCUGACAUGCUCAUUACAUGUCUUUUUCUAAUCCCAGUUUUGCUAUCUCCUCAAUUUUCAAUUGGAGAUUAUACCGCAUGAGGUAAUCUGUUUUGUAAAAAACAAAAAGCUAUUGGACUCUAUCCACAUGUGCAUAAUUUUUCACCCUAGAAUUAGAUCUUCCAUACUUACUUGAAAUAAUCAUAUAUAUUAGUGUAAACAGCAGAUUUAAAAAGAGAUUAGGCUUAGGUUCCGUAAACAGUAAAUGGUUAAUACGAUUUUUCAAAAUUGCUUUUUACAAGUGAAUCACUGGUUCAAACAUAGGAUAAGUUAGAAAUAAACAAAAUUAUUACCCUCUGAAAGUUAACUGGUGAUUUGGGUUCAGUUCCUAGUUUCCCCUGUACUAGUGUCCAGCCUCAACAAUUAGAUUUAAUUUAGCACGGCUGAUGGGAGCCUUCUCUGAAAGGGUUGCAUAAAUGGUUUCUGGGGUCAAGUAAUAAAAAUUCCUCCUAACUCAGGGGUGAAGUGCUGCUGAAAACUGGAACUCUUGAUAAUUUUAUGACCUCAGUUCAAUUCAGUUAGAUAAAGUAAAUACUUCUGUAGCAAUCACACACAAAGUACACAGAAAUUAAUAACUGAAGAAAUACUAUUCUGAGAACAUUGACACAUAGGCACACCUCAGCUUUUUUUUUGUUUUUAGGAUGCUAUUGCCUUCAAUUUACAGUGGUAAAACUAUAACCAUGCUUACCCAAAUUUCCCUCCCCACAGGGUAGGUGCUGCAGUUUAAUUUAAUUAGGGAGAAGUGAUUCUUACUUGGGUAUUGGUAUAUUAAUGACCAUUCUUAAAAGCUACCAGGGUCAAGUAAUUCUUUGACAAAACAUACCUAUUUGUAUUUAUCAUAUUUGAACAGAGAUAACUUGGAAACACUCAAUAAGCAGAAUGGUAAAGAAAUUUCAAAUUUUUAAUAUGAAAUCAAACAUUUUUCAUUUAAGCGUGAACACCACUGUUGCUAAACAUACUCUAUGGGUUGAAUUUUCCCAGAAACACCUGGUAACUCUCUUUCCUUUCCCUUUUGCCUCUUUAAGUAGGUGUUAAUCAUUUGCCAGAUCUGUGUUCCAGCCUAUCUAUGGUUCAGAGUCAAUAUUCAUAAUACAUGGCGGUGGUGGUGGUGUGUGUGUGUAUGUGCGCACGUGCAUGUGUUUGUGAGUCUUUGUUGAUUCUACUGAGUUGAUGUUUUUUUAACAAUGUCUUUGUCCAGAAUAUGUACGUAUUAGAGUUCCUCAGAUAACCUUCUACAACUUAAAUUCAAACUGCAAUCACUCCAAACUUGCUGACCUAUUUGCAAAUCUUUACACAUAUCUUUGCAUAUCUAUUUUCUCAUUUUCUUUCUUCUCUUCUCAUACUACUAUUUUUCACUUCUCCAUAUCUAAUUUUUCUUCAGUUGUUUAUAUCUGUAUUAGGGUUUAAACCCUGAGGUUUGUUCUUUCCCAUUCUCUGAACAAAGAGAGAGAUUCAUUCAAAAUUUGGAGAAAACCCAUCACUGAAGCAGUAAACAUCUGGCUUUGGGCAGUAUUGCUACAGAGCACGAUUGUAAAACACAUACUGUUUUCUGACACUUUUUCUUUUAUUUGCUUCUUUCUUUUGUUUGUUUUUUUAGUUCCUUAAUUUAAAAAUAAAUAUGUUAAUUAUAGAAGAAAUUAAAUAUAAAAAGUAUAAGUGAGAAAAAUCAAAGUCAUCCAUAUGCUUAACUCCUAGAAAGAGCCUGUUAACUUUCUGCUAAAUUGCCUUCUGAUCUUUUUCUAGUGUACGUGAAGGCUAGUUUGUAUAUAUAUGAAUAUAUUUAAAUAAAAUGCAUUUGCAUAUACAUGUACUUAUACAUACAUUCACGUAUAUUUGCAUACUUGGGAUCAUAGUGUAUAUAUUUCUUUAUCCAAUUUCUUACUUAUUAUAUUGUGAAUAAUUCCCAUGCCAUUUAACCUUCUUUUUC
rnacentral:lncRNA from 10 species